rnacentral:misc_RNA from 1 species
GUGAAUCAUCGAAUCUUUGAACGCAAAUUGCACUCUCCUCGGAGAGUAUGCCUGUUUGAGGGUCAGCCUAUAAAAAAUCGACAUCGUUGCUGUUUCACGGUGACGUUCGUCGGAAAUUGGGUAAUCUUAAAUCCUUUUGAUUUAAGGGACUUAAAUUUUUCUUUUGGUUCCAUGAACGUUUCUAAGAUUUAUUUCUUUAUAGGUUUAAGGUAUCGUUUUUAAUUAGAGGUGACCA